rnacentral:rRNA from 1 species
GAAUAUUAGGACAAUAGGGCGCAAGCCUGAUCCAGCAAUACCGCGUGUGUGAAGAAGGCCUGAGGGUUGUAAAGCACUUUCAAUUGGGAGGAAAACCUACCGGUCAAUACCCGGCAGCUUGACAUUACCUUUAGAAGAAGCACCGGCUAACUCCGUGCCAGCAGCCGCGGUAAUACGGAGGGUGCGAGCGUUAAUCGGAAUUACUGGGCGUAAAGCGUGCGUAGGCGGUUAUUUAAGUCAGAUGUGAAAGCCCCGGGCUUAACCUGGGAACUGCAUUUGAUACUGGGUAACUAGAGUUUAGUAGAGGAGAGUGGAAUUUCAGGUGUAGCGRUGAAAUGCGUAGAGAUCUGAAGGAACACCAGU